GGAGGGGUGCAGGAGCGGUUUAACUGGCUAGUCUCGAAAACUAUGCGCUGAAAGGCACGGGGGUUCGAAUCCCCCCCCCUCCGCCA
rnacentral:tRNA from 1 species